UGGCGGACGGGUGAGUAACGCGUGGGUAACCUGCCUUAUACAGGGGGAUAACAGUUGGAAACGGCUGCUAAUACCGCAUAAGCGCACGGCAUCGCAUGAUGCAGUGUGAAAAACUCCGGUGGUAUAAGAUGGACCCGCGUUGGAUUAGCUAGUUGGUGAGGUAACGGCCCACCAAGGCGACGAUCCAUAGCCGACCUGAGAGGGUGACCGGCCACGUUGGGACUGAGACACGGCCCAA
rnacentral:rRNA from 1 species